GGACCCGCACAAGCAGUGGAGCAUGUGGUUUAAUUCGACGCAACGCGAAGAACCUUACCAGCGUUUGACAUGGAAGUGCCGGUUACAGAAUGGUAACCUUCAGUUCGGCUGGCUUCCACACAGGUGCUGCAUGGCUGUCGUCAGCUCGUGUCGUGAGAUGUUGGGUUAAGUCCCGCAACGAGCGCAACCCUUAUCGUUAGUUACUAACAGUUCGGCUGAGGACUCUAGCGAAACUGCCGGUGAUAAGCCGGAGGAAGGUGGGGAUGACGUCAAGUCCUCAUGGCCCUUACACGCUGGGCUACACACGUGCUACAAUGGUAACUACAACGGGACGCAAUACCGCGAGGUGGAGCAAAUCUAUAAACCCUAUCACAGUUCGGAUCGGAGUCUGCAACUCGACUCCGUGAAGCUGGAAUC
rnacentral:rRNA from 1 species